rnacentral:rRNA from 1 species
UCAAUCUCGUGCGGCUAGAAGCCACCUGUCCCUCUAAGAAGAUUUAUUUGUACGCCGGCAGUAAAAAGCGCGCACGACCGGGCGCACGAUACGCCGAAACGCACCGCACGCUGACGGCCGGCGGCCCUUCGAGAUGCCGGAAAUACGUCUAGUUAGCAGGCUAGAGUCUCGUUCGUUAU